GACGAACGCUGGCGGCGUGCCUAACACAUGCAAGUCGAACGGAGAAUUCAGCAAUGGAUUCUUAGUGGCGAACGGGUGAGUAACGCGUAGACAACCUGCCUUUUAGAUGGGGACAACACUGCGAAAGUGGUGCUAAUACCGAAUGUUGUAACUUUACUGCAUGGUGAAGUUACUAAAGAUGGCCUCUAUGUAUAAGCUAUCACUAAAAGAUGGGUCUGCGUCUGAUUAGCUAGUUGGUGAGGUAAUGGCUCACCAAGGCGACGAUCAGUAGCCGGUCUGAGAGGAUGAACGGCCACACUGGGACUGAGACACGGCCCAGACUCCUACGGGAGGCAGCAGUGGGGAAUCUUCCGCAAUGGACGAAAGUCUGACGGAGCAACGCCGCGUGAGUGAAGAAGGUUUUCGGAUCGUAAAGCUCUGUCUUUGGGGACGAACGUGCAGAUUGUAAAUAAUGAUUUGUAAUGACGGUACCUGAGGAGGAAGCCACGGCUAACUACGUGCCAGCCGCCGCCGUAAGAC
rnacentral:rRNA from 1 species